GGUUGACCUCGGAUUAGGUAGGAAUACCCGCUGAAC
rnacentral:rRNA from 1 species